AAAGAUGUGUGAUCAACAGCAGAUGUUCAAAGGCAUUAUGGCAAAUAGCAAAACAUUGAAGAAUGUUUGCCAAAAACCAUAUUUGUCUAUUAAAUGCAAAGAAAAUGAUUGUGUUUGCAAAACCAAGAAGAAGUCUCAUUACAAGAAACAGCCUCAACACCAUCAAACACCUUCCCGAAGAUCUGGCAGAAGAAUGGGAAGAAGAACUAUCAGAUAUUUCAAAUGACGACAAGGCAGCAAAUCGAAAAAAUCAUAUCGUUGUUAUAUCUGCGGGAAAAGGGGCAUUAUGCGAAGAAUUGUCCUACCAAUCCCAAUAAAGCUAUUAAACUUCUACAGUACAUCCGCUAGUCCCUAUAAGUUUCAUUAAAUGAUGAUGAAG
rnacentral:misc_RNA from 1 species